rnacentral:lncRNA from 1 species
UCUACACUAAUUAGGAAGCAAGGGAGACCUAGGGCAGCAUAUAAUCCUAUUUAAAGAGAGCACAAGGCCAGCCACAGAGCUUCUUCUCUUCCUCUUCCAUUCGGACAAGCCUUCGGCCGUCGCACCUCCAUCUCCUUCGACGUCUUCUCUCUUCUUCUUCCUUUCUUUUAUUUUUGGUUUUGUUUCAGCCAUGAGUGGCUGAAACUUUUGCUUUCUAGUUGAAGAAUAG